CUGAGUGUUACAACUCCUAAACCCUUUGUGAACAGUACCAUUCGUUGCUUCGGCGGGACCGCCCCGGCGCCUCUGCGCGCCGGACCCAGGCGCCCGCCGGGGGCCCGAAACUCUUGUUUUGCCAGUGGUAUUUUCUCUGAGUGGCAUAAGCAAAUGAAUCA
rnacentral:misc_RNA from 1 species